UACGAAGGGGGCUAGCGUUGUUCGGAAUUACUGGGCGUAAAGCGAGCGCAGGCGGUUUGAUAAGUUAGAAGUGAAAGCCUUGGGCUCAACCUGAGAACUGCUUUUGAUACUGUCAAGCUAGAAUAUGGGAGAGGAUAGUGGAAUUCUUUGUGUAGGGGUGAAAUCCGGAGAUAUCAAGAGGAAUACCAAUUGCGAAGGCAGCUAUCUGGAACAAUAUUGACGCUGAGGCCCGAAAGCGUGGGGAGUACACAGG
rnacentral:rRNA from 1 species